ACACUGUAUGAUACUUUAUUGAACACUUGAUUAUAAUCUCAUGAUCGUGUGUCAUAUUUUUUAAUUCUCACAGCUCUGACACCGUUAUAAGCCCGGGAGCUACUCUGGCAGUGAUGAGAAGCCCUUUUGGUUGUAUUAUCCUGUGAGGCCUGGUCCAGCUGUAUACCCACUGUGGCCAAUUUAUUGGCCCUUGUUUCUGCCUCGUCCAGCCCCUACUCCAAGCCCUACUCCUGCUCCUUCCCCAGGACCCACACCCAGGCCCCCAGCCGUCACCACCACCGGCCGCUUAGAUGGCAGAUAGUGAAGAUGAAUCCCAUUCGCCUAAAUAAUGUACUCAAGGUCACUUUUUAAAUAAUGCUUUCAAUAAAUGCAGUGAAUCUUAAA